CCUACGGGAGGCAGCAGUGGGGAAUAUUGCACAAUGGGGGAAACCCUGAUGCAGCGACGCCGCGUGCGUGAGGACGUAUUUCGGUAUGUAAAGCUCUAUCUGUAGGGAAGAAAAUGACGGUACCUGACUAAGAAGCCCCGGCUAACUGCGAGCCAGCAGCCGCGGUACUACGUAGGGGGCAAGCGUGAUCCGGAUUUACUGGGCGUAAAGGGAGCGUAGGCGGCUAAUCAAGUCUGAAGUGAAAACCCAGGGCUCAACUUUGGGACUGCUUUGGAAACUGGGUAGCUAGAGUGCAGGAGAGGUAAGCGGAAUUCGUAGCGUAGCGGUGAAAUGCGUAGAUAUUAGGAGGAACACCGGUUGCGAAGGCAGCUUACUGGACUGUAACUGACGUUGAGGCUCGAAAGCGUGGGGAGCAAACAGGAUUAGAUACCCGUGUAGUC
rnacentral:rRNA from 1 species